UACAGAAUCGAAUCAAACGGGACUAGCUGCAAAUCUGUAGGCCCACAUUAGCGCUUAACUUUAUCAAGGAAAUCUACACACUCCGCCGAGCCUACUUGGAAACUUUCUGGCUCGCACGGUCUGUGAAUUCUCCAAUGCAAUAAAACGACAACUCGAAGUUUGUGGGGGUGGAAAUGGACACAGAGAUAAUUAUCCAACAUGUAAAAAUGGAUUAUGAGUUACACCACAGAUGGAGGGAAACAAGUUACACGGGGAAGGAAGCAAUUAAAUAGCCAUGAGCCGGACCCAACCCUGCGCAACAUCUGCCGAGACCAGUAUUCAGCACUCCACAACUGACAAAUUAGUGUAAUGGACUAAUAGGGACGGAUAGAGGGAGUGAAUACAAUAAUAUGGCUGUUUAACACAGGCUGGCUAUUCUCAGGCAACCGGCUAGUCUGGAGAAACUUACCCAGAGACGUGGUCCUCAUCCUGGAGAGCGUCCGGUCCACACUGAGGGAGACUGAGCAACAGAGAUGGUCUGUACCGGUCAAGUAACACUUACAGCCUGCAAAGAGAGAGUCAGACGAAGCCUCGCCGUCAGUGCGAUUAUAUGUUAUGUGCAAUAUACUGUCAACUCCCCAAAACCAUAAAACUUACUUUAAUGGCUACCACGUGACCGUUUAUGGCCAGUGAGCCUAUCUGGCCGCUCUUCGGAUGAUUUUUACGAUCUAAUUCAUAGACAAAACCCCCAUUCAUUUAGCACCCAAAUGUCAGAGAGCCAGAAUCGGCCCUAAUAAAGUUUACAGCUUGAAAAGUCGAGCCAAUUCCCCGGGAAUAGCUCGGGAGCCCCGUGCGCAAAGGGGACGUCCGGCCCCUGAAGCCUGUUUAGUGACCAAGGACCCCCACAAAGCCCCCAGCGCCACAGCAAGCCGUUUCUGACUCCGCGCUCCGACUGUCUCCAGUUUCGGGCUCCUCGGCCUCGGACACCACCGGAGCAUCGCCGGGCUUUUCUCCGGGAUUCGACUCCGAUUCGUCCUUGUGGUCUUUCUUCCACUUCAUCCUGCGGUUCUGAAACCAGAUUUUGAUCUGUCUCUCGGUGAGGCACAGGGCGUGGGAGAUCUCCACCCUCCUCCUGCGGGUCAGGUACCGGUUGAAGUGGAACUCCUUCUCCAGCUCCAGGGUCUGGUACCGGGAGUAGGUCUGCCGCCCCCGCUUUCGAUUUGGCUCUGCGGAAGUCGAGAACUGUGUAUAACUUAAUACCUGUCUGCAUGCGUGAAAUAAAACACUGCAUGAAGCAUUAAUUAAAAUGUUGUUGAAGCUGGUAUUGACAAUAAAAACCUGCAGCAGAAAACA